CCUCUGGAGUGUCACAUCAACGCUAGUUAGCUUUGGCGAAAGCGGACACGUAUGAAUGAGGAA
rnacentral:sRNA from 12 species